UUUUUUAUUUUUUCAUUCUUGCUUUGUUUCAGCUGGGAAAAGAGGAGGAAGAAAUAGAGCACCAGAGAGGGAGAGAGAGGGAGAAGUGUCGAGAUAGGAAGGAAUAGCUCGACUUUGCUCUCUGGUUCGAUUGUUGACCAAUUUCAGGGAUCGUGGAGAUUGAAUCCUUGCACUCUGAAGGAUUGACUCAGAUUGCUAUCUUUCUCGGAGUUUUCGAUACAGUCAAGAUGAAACACGAACUCAACGAACACGGAUGAAUAUGAAGGAUAGGAAAGCUUCAAGGCACGAUCAAGGCUUUCCAAAUAGAAUUAUCUGCCCCCCCACAUGUAGCUGCUGAUGGGCUUUGAUGGAGAUCCUCCCGGUAUACAACGAAGCGCAAGAGUUCUCGAUUAGCAAAGUCGAAGAAUUGACAAACUCUCUCUCGUUUUUCUCCAAAUAUUUCGAAUGAUUUCAAUCAUAACUUUUGGUACAAGAGCCUAUAACUUAUAAUGAUCAAGGGCACCAACAAAGUGUAUAUUCUUUGUUUGUAAUCGUUUAGGAUGUCUCAUUUCUGUUAAAAUCAGUCCCACAGAGGAACAUUUUCAGUUAUUUGAAUGUUUAUGAACGUUAUUGAA